rnacentral:misc_RNA from 1 species
GUUUAUAUUUGUGAUGGAAAUAUUUCUUCAUGGUAGUUUACUUGGCCUUAAACCACAACCAUGUUUACUGUUUCAUGUUACUAAUUUCAUAUAUUUUUCCAUACAAUCCAAAGUGAGAAACUGAGAAUCCACUAAUGAGGUGCCUUAAGGGUAUCUCAAUGAUAUCAGUCAGUGAGCAGUUUUUGAUGGCAUACAAUCUAAUACUCAUUUGUCAAGUGGCUUAUUUAUCAGCAUAGAUCCAAAAAUACUUAUCAUAAGACAA